ensembl:misc_RNA Metazoa_SRP Metazoan signal recognition particle RNA
GCCAGGCGCGGUGGCGUGUGCCUGUAGUCCCAGCUAUGCGGGAGGCUGAGGCUGGAGGAUCUCUUGAGCCCAGGAGUUCUGGGCUGUAGUGUGCUAUGCCGAUCAGGUGUCCGCACUAAGUUUGGCAUCAUAUGGUGACAUCCUGGGAGUGGGGGACCACCAGGGUGCCUAAGGAGGGGUGCACCAGCUUAGGUUGGAAAUGGAGCAGGUCAAAACUCCCAUGCUGAUCAGUAGCGGGAUUGUGCCUGUGAAUAGCCACUGCACUCCAGCCUGGACAAUGUAGUGAGACCCUCUCUCUU